rnacentral:rRNA from 1 species
AACGAACGCUGGCGGCGUGGAUAAGACAUGCAAGUCGAGCGGGACAAGUAGCAAUAUUUGUCUAGUGGCGAACGGGUGCGUAACACGUGGGCAACAUGCCUGGAAGAGCGGGAUAGCCCGGGGAAACUCGGAUUAAUACCGCAUGUGACAACGGGGCGGAUUCGCCCUGUUUUAAAAGGUCGGGACCGCCAGGCCUGCCGCUUCCAGAUUGGCCCGCGUCCUAUCAGCUAGUUGGCGGGGUAACGGCCAACCAAGGCGACGACGGGUAGCUGGUCUGAGAGGACGACCAGCCACACUGGAACUGAGACACGGUCCAGACACCUACGGGUGGCAGCAGUCGAGAAUCUUUCACAAUGGGGGAAACCCUGAUGGAGCGACGCCGCGUGGAGGAUGACGGUCUUCGGAUUGUAAACUCCUGUCAUGAAAGAACAAGCGGAGCGGGUGAACAGCCCGCCGAGUUGAUAGUAUUUCAAGAGGAAGGGACGGCUAACUUCGUGCCAGCAGCCGCAGUAA